AGUUGCAAACAGGUCAAGCUGUGCACUCUAGACAGACUGCCGUGGACAACACGGAGGAAGGUGGGGAUGACGUCAAAUCAUCAUGCCCCUUAUGAUCUGGGCUACACACGUGCUACAAUGGGCCGGUACAACGGGCAGCGAAGGAGCGAUCCGGAAGCGAAUCCUAAAAAGCCGGUCCCAGUUCGGAUUGCAGGCUGAAACUCGCCUACAUGAAGUUGGAGUUGCUAGUAAUCGCGAAUCAGAGUGUCGCGGUGAAUGCGUUCCCGGGUCUU
rnacentral:rRNA from 1 species